rnacentral:lncRNA from 1 species
GAAGAUUCAAGUGAACCAGGGAAGGAGAAUGACAUCAGACUGGGCUUGUGCCUGAUAAUUCAUUUCUGAAGUGCUUCAAGAUUGACGCAUCAGAUUUGCACAAUGUGCCACUUUAGGAGAUUAUUUCUUCCUUCCUUCAGCCAGACAGAAGACUGCAGUAGGGAUAUGGUUCCUGUUUGCCUAUUUCCAUCCACAACUCUGCCAGAGACGAAAGCAGUGUUUGAAACAAUUCACCAAGAUUUCCAUCUGGAAUCAUCAAGAAUGGAAUUGAUCAAAUUCCUUAAGAAAUUUACUUAAAGUCAUGAUUUUGACAGCCUAGUGCUACCUGGAAAAGGGACAGCAGCAGCCUGGAGCAGUUUUCUAGCUAACAAGAAUUUUGUUAGCUAUGUGGCCACCUAGUGGCUCUUCCAUGGAUGUCGCUGAUGCAUUGUCAGGUACACAGACAAUUGCCCACUAAUAAAGAAGUUAUUAUCUUUCUUGGAA